AAAUAAUUAGCAUAUUUUGAUGUGCUUUGAUAAAUAACUAUAUCAAAUAUGAGAAAAUAUGACACUUCCGAAACUGGACCUAACUUUAAAAGAAAUAAAAAAACAACUCGGUAGUGAUCAGCCUCAGUCAAGUAGUCCGUCCGCCUUUGAGAACCAGCAGAGCUUUGUUGAUUGUCUCUGAUGAUCCAGAUGAACAGGUUCCAGAUGACCACUUCCUCCUUUUCCUUUCAAUCAGCCAUAACCCUAUCAUAUGAUCCCACACAGGCUUCCUGGUUGCCGAGGAAGAAAUGGUGUGCAGCAGAGCUUCAGAACGCGCUUUUUAGGAGCCUCAAUGACUACACCCUGGAGCAGAUGAGUGACCGCAGGAGGCAGAAAGCUGCGGAGGAUGGAGAGCGGAGUCUCAUCGGGCCUCCAUCCGGACACGCCGGGGAGAGCCUCCUGGGCCGAGACGCCUCCACUCCGUUCUUCGUCUACCUGCUGGCCUUUUUCUCCGCCCUGGGAGGCUUCCUCUUCGGCUACGACACGGGGGUGGUGUCUGGAGCCAUGCUGCUGCUGAAGAAGGAGAUGCACCUGAGCGCCCUGUGGCAGGAGCUGCUGGUUUCCAGCACCGUCGGAGCGGCGGCGCUGUCCGCCCUCAGCGGAGGCUUCCUGAACGGCUGGCUGGGGCGCAGGGUCUGCAUCCUGUUGGCCAGCUUCGUCUUCAGUGUCGGUGGGGUGGUCCUGGGUGUGGCCCAGAUCAAAGAGGUCCUCCUGGUGGGCAGGGUCAUAGUCGGUUUGGGCAUUGGCAUCGCUUCCAUGACCGUUCCUGUAUACAUCGCAGAAGUUUCCCCCCCUCACCUGAGAGGCCAGCUGGUCACCAUGAACUCGCUCUUCAUCACCGGAGGCCAGUUCGUUGCCAGUGUGGUGGACGGGGCUUUCAGCUACAUGAGUCACGACGGCUGGAGGUACAUGCUGGGUCUGUCUGUCCUCCCCGCCGCGCUGCAGUUCUUUGGCUUCAUCUGUCUGCCGGAGAGCCCCCGCUGGCUCCUGCAGAAGGGGCGGAGCCAGGAGGCGCGGCAGGUCCUGGGCCGGAUCCGGGGGGGCCGGGACAUCGAGGAGGAGUACGACGCCAUCCGAGGCAGCAUCGAGGAGGAGGCGAGGGACGGGGGAUCAGGAGGCGUAGUCAUUUUACGCAUGCUGAGCUACGGCCCGACUCGCAGGGCUCUGGUCGUCGGCUGUGGCCUCCAGAUGUUUCAGCAGCUGUCUGGGAUCAACACAGUCAUGUACUACAGCGCCACCAUUCUGCAGAUGGCGGGGGUGCGGGAAGACAAGCAGGCCAUCUGGCUGGCCGCAGCAACCUCAGCCACAAACUUCGUGUUCACCUUGGUCGGGGUGUGGCUCGUGGAGAGAGUGGGCCGCAGGAAGCUGACCCUGGGCAGUCUGUUAGGUACUGGACUGAGUCUGGCUUUGUUGGCCGUCGGGUUCCUGCUGUCGGCCCAAAACUCCCCUGCUGUUACCCUCCACCCUGUCGACGCUCGCAAUUCAACCUGCAGACUUUACGGGUCCUGUGAACUGUGCAUGUUGGAUCCCGACUGUGGAUUCUGUUACCUUGAAAACGGCACCAGCGUCUUCGACUCUUCGUGCCUUCCUGUCGAUCCGGCAUCAACGGAUAGCGCAGCCUGGGGAAGAUGUUCUAACAGGACAGAGGAAUCUACCAGCCCAUAUUGGGCUUACAACCACUGUCCUACGCCGUACUCAUGGGUCGUCCUUUUGGGCCUCAUUCUCUACCUUGCGUCGUUCGCUCCAGGUAUGGGCACGAUGCCCUGGACAGUGAACUCGGAGAUCUACCCGCUGUGGGCGCGCAGCACCGGAAACGCCUGCUCCGCUGGCGUCAACUGGAUCUUCAACGUCCUGGUGUCGUUGACAUUUCUUCAUGUGGCAGAGUAUCUGACGUAUUAUGGCGCCUUCUUCAUGUACGCGGGCCUCGCGGUGCUGGGCCUCCUCUUCGUCCUCUGGUGCCUCCCGGAGACGAAGGGUUUACAGCUGGAGGACAUUGAGAACCUGUUCACCAGGCGGCUCUGCUCCUGCGGAGGCUUGCCGGCCAACGACAGUCGGCACGUCCACUACGUCCGGGUAAAAGGCAACAACUACCUCCAUUCAGACAACGAUGCCUCAGAUGUAGACUAGUCCUGGCAGCUCGGUUGGGUUUUUUUUCUUUCUCUCUCUCUCUCUCUCUCUCUUCACUCUCUUUGGACUCUACUUUCUUUUCUGCUCUUGGGGGAGGAAAGAUAAUCACGUUGCCUUCUAACUGGGAUUAGAAAACACUGGCUGACUAGAACUAUUCUUCCCUGUCAGUCAUUGUCUUCCACUUCAAAAAGGGAAACAAGACUCUAAAGGCUUACUGCUGACAUAGACUGGUUUGCUAUUGUGUCAGAAAAACUCCUGGGACGCGACCAUCGACAUGAAACAAUCAUCCGGCUGCAACAAUUUGAACUUUGGAAAGAAGUGACCAAACCUUCAGUUCCCUCAGCCUAUGUGGAGCAGAGAGAGACGCUGAUUUUUACAGCUCCAGAGCAUGAUUUCACUCUGAUUUCACCUCCUCCUUUAGUCUAGCCUGGGAGAGUUCACAGACGGGACAACAAAAACAAGAACGAGUUUGUGCGCUUUGCUCUUAAACUCCACGACGAUUCCCAAUGAUUUCCGCCACAUCUGGGCUUUUUUUCUGCAACACGCAUUCUUGUUAAAUUCACUAACACGGGUUUAUUCUCUCAAUCUGCUCUGGUGGCAAAGAAAACAACCAAUGGUGGUUUGCUGUUGUCCUCGAACUGAGAGUCUGCACUAUGUAAGCUGAUUGGUGUUUUAACAAAUCUAAAUGUAGUUUUUAAUUGCUCUAACGAUUUUUUUUAGAAAAUGUAAGUUUUCUUACGUAAUUAUUUUUUUUAGCAAUCUUCAGAUUUCACCGCGGCACAGUAUGGAGCCGUGGAGUCAGACUGUGCCAUAGCGUAUAUCACUCUCAGAUAACAGCAGCCAAGUGUCCCCAAACGGCUUCGUUUUUGCACAGGUCCUCUUCCAUACGUGCCCUUUUGAUUUCAUGCUACUGUACGCACUUUGAAGUUGAACAGGAUUUCUUAUUCAAAAUCCUUCUUAUGUCAUGAUUUAAUAUCUGCUGUACAGACCUUCAUGUGUUUGUAAAUUGCAAAAAAAAAAAA